UCUCUCUCUCCCUUAUCUUCUUCGUACAGGAAUAAUUCGGGUGUCGCAAUUUUAGCGCCUCCCUCUUCAUUGCUCAUAAUCGGACAACUUUCUUUGUUUUUCUGUUGAAGAGUAGUAAAAUUCCAGCUUCUCAAACCUGAUCCAAACAUAGAAUUCAAAUUUGGAAUUCAAAAUUUCACCCCAAUUUCUACCCACCCACCCGAUUUGUUCUUUUAAUCUCCUAUAAAUACUCAUCUUCCAUAAACGUUAAAGGGGGAUUUUUUUUGGAGCUGCUAAUUUACUAUUUAAAACAGAGGGAAUUUUCAUCAAAAGAAAUAGACAUACAAAUAUAAAAUCUCCAAGAAUAGCUACGGAAAACAUAUACUAAGAGUCCACAAGCUUAGUGAUUUUCUCAUUCAAAUUCAUCGAAGCUUGUUGGGAUCCGGUAAAGAUCCAUUUGUGGUAAAGUUGUUGCCCCUCUACUUGUCUAGUCUUGGUUCUGAUCUACGAAAAAAAGCUUGAUCAGGUCCAUGUUGUGCUUGCCGGAGAAUACUUCUUCAAAGUGAGUCUUUGCACUGUUCUUGAGAAUUUUCAAGUUGGAAAAACUUAUAAAAUGAUAGACACAAAACUCAAACUCAAGCUUCUAUAUUUUUCAGAGAAAGUUCAAGUUUUUGUUUGAUAAAUCUUAAGUUUGUGUUGAAUGAGAAGAAACUAUAUUAAAUGAACACAAACUCUUGGGACAAGGCCAUUGGCUGAGAGCCUGUUGUUCUCAAAGGUUGUGCACCAACCACAUCAGAGUUGGCAGACUUUUAACAGUUGUUUUUUCAUCCUUUUCAUGUACGAACACUUUCUGGAACCAGGUCCCUUUUUGCAU